GCAAUCGUGGCCGAGUGGUUAAGGCGAUGGACUCGAAAUGCAUUGGGGUCUCCCCGCACAGGUUCGAAUCCUGUCGACUGCA
rnacentral:tRNA from 2 species